AGCGAACGCUGGCGGCAGGCUUAACACAUGCAAGUCGAGCGCCCGUAGCAAUACGGGAGCGGCAGACGGGUGAGUAACACGUGGGAACGUGCCCUUUGGUUCGGAAUAACUCAGGGAAACUUGAGCUAAUACCGGAUAAGUCCGUAAGGAGAAAGAUUUAUCGCCGAAGGAGCGGCCCGCGUCCGAUUAGCUAGUUGGUGAGGUAAUGGCUCACCAAGGCUACGAUCGGUAGCUGGUCUGAGAGGAUGACCAGCCACACUGGGACUGAGACACGGCCCAGACUCCUACGGGAGGCAGCAGUGGGGAAUAUUGGACAAUGGGGGCAACCCUGAUCCAGCCAUGCCGCGUGGAUGAUGAAGGCCUUAGGGUUGUAAAGUCCUUUUAACGGGGAAGAUAAUGACGGUACCCGUAGAAUAAGCCCCGGCUAACUUCGUGCCAGCCGCCGCCGUAAUAC
rnacentral:rRNA from 1 species